rnacentral:misc_RNA from 1 species
ACCGCUACCACCAACGUACACGUUUGCUGCCUCCAAACAGCCACGUCCAGAAUGAACUGUCAAACCCAGAAUGCUCUUCCUCUUUCAUGGUUAUUAAGCCCACUCUCUUUUUGUCAUUACCGAAUGCAGUUCACCUCCAUCUCCGCACUGCUACUCUGCUGCCACAGACAUGGAUGUUUCUUUACCAGAAGCCACAUAUCCUGCUGUGACCCGAAAUUCAGAAGAAACUUUAUCAUCUCGUCCAUUUAAUCUCCAAAAACUUCCCCAUUUAACAGACUACUUACCAGACCUCAAAUCUUACACCAACCCAUUAGAUAACAACCCUUUCUACCA